CCCAACUUCAGCUGAGUAUUCAAGUAUAGUGGAGCAACUACCCACAACAAAUAUCAUCUGAUACUCAAAUGAGGAAGUUCCCCGCUGAAUUUCAAAUUAUAAAUGAUUUGGAAAAUGAUGCUGUAGCCCCUAUUGAAAGCUGGCAUAGACAAGUACUGAUCUGCAUUAAUAUCACGGUACAGAAAUCAGCGAACCAAAAACGUAUAAUGCAGCACUGAUUUGAAUAAUUCUUUUAGAAUAAGAGAAAUUUGAUAAGAAGGAAAACGGUACAGUACAUGGAUACUGAGCAGUUACUUCCUUCACCGUAUGCCAUUCAUAUGCUGGAGUUAUGUCAACAGACCCAGAGUCAUCUAGAAUCUCAUCGACGACGGAAUCUAACCAAUACUCAAUCUCAUCAGUGGAAUCUACUUGGAGUCAUCAAUAUUAAGGCAUGUGAACUUCAUCUAUCAAUCUUCAGAUGUUCAACCAAUGGAACCAUUGUUUUCUGAUGUACUUCAACCACGAACUGAUCACCUUGCCUGAGCGUUUUAUUAUUAUAUGAACUCUGUUUUAAAUCAUAUUAUACUGAAUUGAUAAUAACUGACACAUGAACAACCAGCUAAGCAAAAGAAUUUUAAUUAAUUUCAUGAACACUCAAACUGUAAUAUACUGUAAAUACCAUAAUAAUGAGAUUGCUUAUAAUAAAAUCAGUGCAGAAUGUUAUUUAAUGUAUUUCAUUAUACAUUAUAAUACUAUAAUGCAUCGAUAGGCUUAUGUAUUUGUUAUUAUUUCUGCAUACAUACUGUAUGAGAAGUGGGACACUUCUUGGAAAGAGGAGGAGUAGUGUAACCUUUCAACUUUAGGAUAUACAUAUUAUGGGAUGGUCCUGCGAAAUAGUCUCGUGGGCCGAUUUGAUAGGA
rnacentral:lncRNA from 1 species